rnacentral:rRNA from 1 species
GCCUGAGUCAUCAGCUUGUGCUGAUUAUGUCCCUGCCCUUUGUACACACCGCCCGUCGCUCCUACCGAUUGAAUGAUCCGGUGAAUAAUUUGGGCUGUAGCAAUGUUCAGUUCUUGAACAAUGCAAUGGCAAAUUUAAUGAACCUUAUCACUUAGAGGAAGGAGAAGUCGUAACAAGGUUUCUGUAGGUGAACCUGCUGAAGGAUCAUGU